CCCCGAAGAGGGGGAUAACCACUGGAAACGGUGGCUAAUACCCCAUGUGGUCUCGCAUUCGGUUGCGCGAUUAAAUGCUCCGGCGCUUCGGGAUGGGCCUGCGGCUUAUCAGCUAGUUGGUAGGGUAAUGGCCUACCAAGGCUAUGACGGGUAGCUGGUCUGAGAGGACGGUCAGCCACACUGGCACUGAGACACGGGCCAGACUCCUACGGGAGGCAGCAGUGAGGGAUAUUGCGCAAUGGGGGAAACCCUGACGCAGCAACGCCGCGUGGGCGAAGAAGGUCUUCGGAUCGUAAAGCCCUUUUCUCCCGGACGAGGAAGGACGGUACGGGAGGAAUAAGUGUCGGCUAACUACGUGCCAGCAGCCGCGGUAAAACGUAGGACGCAAGCGUUAUCCGGAAUUAUUGGGCGUAAAGGGCGUCUAGGCUGCGUCUUAAGUUGGGCGUGAAAUCUUCUGGCUUAACCGGAAGGGUGCGUUCAAUACUGGGACGCUUGAGGGCAGCAGAGGGAGGUGGAAUUCCCGGUGUAGCGGUGGAAUGCGUAGAUAUCGGGAGGAACACCAGUGGCGAAGGCGGCCUCCUGGGCUGUACCUGACGCUGAAGCGCGAAAGCGUGGGGAGCGAACGGGAUUAGAUACCCCGGUAGUCCACGCCGUAAACGAUGGAUACUAGGUGUUGGUGGUAUUGACCCCAUCGGUGCCGCAGCUAACGCAUUAAGU
rnacentral:rRNA from 1 species